rnacentral:rRNA from 1 species
GGCUUAACACAUGCAAGUCGAGCGGGCACUUUCGGGUGUCAGCGGCGGACGGGUGAGUAACGCGUGGGAACGUGCCUUCUGGUUCGGAAUAACUCAGGGAAACUUGAGCUAAUACCGGAUACGCCCUUUUGGGGAAAGGUUUACUGCCGGAAGAUCGGCCCGCGUCUGAUUAGCUAGUUGGUGGGGUAACGGCCUACCAAGGCGACGAUCAGUAGCUGGUCUGAGAGGAUGAUCAGCCACACUGGAAGUGAGACACGGUCCAGACUCCUACGGGAGGCAGCAGUGGGGAAUUUUGGACAAUGGGCGAAAGCCUGAUCCAGCCAUACCGCGUGAGUGAAGAAGGCCUUCGGGUUGUAAAGCUC